rnacentral:tRNA from 1 species
AUUACUUUGGCAGAAUAGUGCUUUAAAUUUAGAAUUUAAAUAUAUAUUAAUUAUAAUAUAGGUAAUA